rnacentral:misc_RNA from 1 species
AAGUCGUAACAAGGUUUCCGUAGGUGAACCUGCGGAAGGAUCAUUACAAAUAUGUUUGUGUGUUGGGGGAUUGUGAUUUUGUUAUUAUUAUCACUCGCAUCCUCUGAUAUCACUUUGCCCACUCCUGAAAGGGAGCUGGACGCAUGCAGCAAUGUGUGCAAAUAGACUUUAAAUCAUGACUUUUAAACCAAAAGUAAAUAACCAAAACUUUUAACAAUGGAUCUCUUGGCUCUU